rnacentral:rRNA from 1 species
UACAGAGGGUGCGAGCGUUGUCCGGAAUCACUGGGCGUAAAGGGCGCGUAAGUGGCGACCCAAGUCGAUGGUGAAAGCUCGCCGCUCAACGGCGAGUCGGCCACCGAUACUGGGUUGCUCGAGCACUGUAGAGGCUAAUGGAAUUCCGGGUGUAGCGGUGGAAUGCGUAGAGAUCCGGAAGAACACCGGUGGCGAAGGCGGUUAGCUGGGCAGUUGCUGACACUGAGGCGCGACAGCGUGGGGAGCAAACAGG